GGGGGUGCGUUUCGGAUUUUGGGCGUAAGCGCGCGCAGGCGGUUCUUUAAGUCUGAUGUUAAAGCCCCCGGCUCAACCCCGGAUGGUCUUUGAAAAUUGGUGAACUUGAUUCCAAAAAAGAAAACUGUAUUUCCCCUUGUACCGUUAAAUUGCUUAAAAUUGUGAAGAACCCCCAUGGCCAAAGGCGAUUCUUUGUCCUGUACCUGACCCUAAGGCCCAAAACCUUGGGAACCAAACAGGAUUAAAUCCCCGGGUAUCCCCCCCCUUAAACAAUAAUUGCUAGUUGUUAGAGGUUUUCCACCCUUUAUUGCUGCACCAAACCCAUUAACCACUCCCCCGGGGAAUUCCCGCCCCAAAGUUAAACUUCAAAGGAUUUGACGGGGGCCCCCCCAACCGGUGAACCUUGUGUUUUAUUUCAAACCACCCCAAAAAACCUUACCAGGCCUUGCCUUCCCCUGACCACCCUAGAGAUAGGGCUUUCCCUUUCGGCAGACAUGAUAACAGGUGCAUCAUUGUUGUCAUCACCUCGCGUCAGAAGAUGUUGUAUUAACUCCCACAACGACCACCCCUCUUUUUCUUUGUUGCCAUUCUUCUGUUGGCUCCUCAAAGAUUACUGCCGAUAACAAACCGGAAGACGGGGGUGAUGACNUCUCAUCAUCCUCCCCCUUAUCACCUGUACUACACACCUGCUAUGAUGGGUGCUACAAGGAGCUGCCUCACCACAAUGUUACCCUCAUCUCAUAACACUCUUCUCUCUUAUUAUAGCCUGCUACUCCUCUGCUGCAUGAGCCAGAAUCACUAAUAAUCGAUCAUCAUGAUGCCGCGAAUAAUAUUUCCCGGGUUCUUGUACCACCCGCCU
rnacentral:rRNA from 1 species